rnacentral:lncRNA from 1 species
GAGCUGGAGCUGGAGCAUCUCUCACACCCUCCUCGCCCUCCCCACCGACAUCAUGCUCCAGUUCCUGUCCUUCAAGUUCCGAAAACUUUGGGGUGUCAGUGAUAUGACUGCGUUUUCAAAAAAAACCACUUACUGUGAGCUCUUAGCGUAAUCCUCGCACUUGGAUUUACUUUGGGCAACGUGGUUGGAAUGUAUCUGGCUCAGAACUAUGAAAUGCCAAACCUGGCUAAAAAACUUGAAGAGAUUAAAAAGGACCUGGAAGCCAAGAAGAAGCCCCCUAGUUCCUGAUGCCGGCCUGGCACUGCAUUCUGGACCCACCUGUUCCGUCCUGGGGGGGGCCUGUCUCCUUCAGAGCCACAUCCAAAGCUGUGUUCCUCUUUGGUCUCAGACUCUGCGUGAUGCCUCAGAUCCAGCAGGGGCCAGAAGUCGAGUUAGCUUUAGGUGUCCAGCAUCUCCCCUUCUCGGUAUCUUCUGUCCAGCUGCUUCUGAGUCCUAAGACUGGAACCAUGGUGCUCGGUUAGCAACUACAACCCUAACAGUACUCACUCACCGUGCUCUGGGAGUCUUAGCACCUACUGUCAAGAAAUGAAUGGAUCUGGAUAGCUACUGGGGAUUUACUGACUAGCAGUGAUAACAGGAGCUUGCUAGACAAACUAAAUUGUGUUAAAAUCAUUAAAGUCAGUAUCUUCAAGC